rnacentral:sRNA from 1 species
UGUAACAAGGUCUCCGUUGGUGAACCAGCGGAGGGAUCAUUACUGAGUUACCGCUCUAUAACCCUUUGUGAACGUACCUAACCGUUGCUUCGGCGGGCAGGGGAAGCCUCUCGCGGGCCUCCCCUCCCGGCGCCGGCCCCCACCACGGGGACGGGGCGCCCGCCGGAGGAAACUAAACUCUAUUUACACGACGUCUCUUCUGAGUGGCACAAGCAAAUAAUUAAAACUUUUAACAACGGAUCUCUUGGUUCUGGCAUCGAUGAAGAACGCAGCGAAAUGCGAUAAGUAAUGUGAAUUGCAGAAUUCAGUGAAUCAUCGAAUCUUUGAACGCACAUUGCGCUCGCCAGCAUUCUGGCGAGCAUGCCUGUUCGAGCGUCAUUUCAACCCUCAAGCACCGCUUGGUUUUGGGGCCCCACGGCCGACGUGGGCCCUUAAAGGUAGUGGCGGACCCUCCCGGAGCCUCCUUUGCGUAGUAACUAACGUCUCGCACUGGGAUCCGGAGGGACUCUUGCCGUUAAACCCCCAAAUUCUUUACAGGUUGACCUCGGAUCAGGUAGGAAUACCCGCUGAACUUAAGCAUAUCA